AACAUUAUCUUACCAUCUUUGUAACAUUAUCUUGCGACCGUCUCUAGCGCAAGUAACAACGGAUUUGUGGUUGGUAUUUGAGAUCUCAAGUUCGAAUUCUAGUUGAUUCACAUUUUCAGCUAAGUUAUUUCUAAAUGAAGUAAACGAAGCGGAUAGCUUACUAUUUAUCUCUUAAAAAAAAAAAAAAAGAAAUGCGCGCGCAACACUUCUUUAUAUAAAAGAAUUAAAAUUUUAAAUAGUUUUAUUUAUGUAUUUGAUAAAAUUUGAUUGUAUGUAUGUACAGUAAAUAUAUUUUGUUUAAUCAUAAUUAUCUAAUUUGGUAUAAAAAUUGGAAUAAUAAUAGUAGAUUUAGUUAAAUUAGGUUUAUUAUUAAAUUUAAGNUAAUUUUAUUUAUGUAUUUUAUAAAAUUUGAUUGUGUGUAUGUACAAUAAAUAUAUUUUGUUUAAUCAUAAUUAUCUAAUUUGGUAUAAAAAUUGGAAUAAUAAUAGUAGAUUUAGUUAAAUUAGGUUUAUUAUUAAAUUUAAGUAGAUUAAAAAUUUUAAAUUAUAUAAGUUGAAAUUUUUAUUUGAUCUUAAUCAUCUAGUUUUG
rnacentral:lncRNA from 1 species